rnacentral:rRNA from 1 species
AGAGAGAGACAUGCGCGCAUAUCAAUAAGCGGAGGAAAAGAAACUAACAAGGAUUCCCUUAGUAACGGCGAGUGAAGCGGGAAGAGCUCAAAUUUGAAAUCUUCAAGGUUUUACCUUGACGAAUUGUAGUUUAAAGAAGUGUCUUCUGCUGAAGUUUUGGUAAAAGUUCUUUGGAAUAGGACAUCAUAGAGGGUGAGAAUCCCGUAUUUGACCAUUAUUUUCAGCUUUGUGAUACACUUUCAAAGAGUCGGAUUGUUUGGGAAUGCAAGUCCAAAAUGGGUGGUAAAUUUCAUCUAAAGCUAAAUAUUGGCGAGAGACCGAUAGCGAACAAGUACCGUGAGGGAAAGAUGAAAAGAACUUUGAAAAGAGAGUUAAACAGUACGUGAAAUUGUCAAAAGGGAAGCGUUUGACACCAGUGUUGUUUUCUCGAAAAUCAAUUAAAAAUGGCUCGAUUUUGUAUUGCUGAGACCUUAAAAGCUCACUGUACAUUUUUCGUGUCUUUUUUAAUGCACUUUUCGUUUAACAAGUCAACAUCAGUUUCUUUUGUUGUAAAAGGGUCAUUGGAAGGUGGCUUUCUUUUCGGAGAAAGUGUUUAUAGCCUUUGGCCUCUGCAAUCGAAGAGACUGAGGUCUGCAGCGUAGACUCUUCGGGGUUAGAUACAUUUGUGCUAAGUUAUAGCUUUUUAUAGACAACUUGUUGACUAUAAUUAGUCUUGUAGCUUACUCGCUUAUGCUAUUUUACCUACGCUUAGGAUGUUGAGUCGUAGAGCACGCAG